UGAACCCUGGAUUUCCAGGUGUCAUUCCAAGGUCAGGUGGAACCAAGGGCUCCAUGGUCUUCACCCCCUGGUGUUACUCCUGAGAUUAUGUUAUGUUUGGUGGGAAAAGGAAUUCUGCAGAUGCCAUUAAGGUUACUAAUCAGAGAGCAUCUGCAUGGGCCUAACCUAAUCACAUGAGCCUUUUAAAAGUAGGGAAUUUUCUCCAGCUUGUUACAGAAGCGAGAUUCUUGUUACAGUUGAGAGAUUCUAAUUGUGAGAGGGAUUCAACAAGAGGAAGCUUCUCCAUUGCUGACUUUACCAUGAAAGGGUCAAUGGGACAAGAACUUGAGAAGCUGAGGGUAGUCCUUGCGGAGACAACAGGGACUUCAGUCCUACAACCACAGCAACUGAAUUCUGCCAACAACCUGAGCAAGCUUGGAAGAAGGUUCUUCUGCAAAGCCUCCAGGAAAUAACAAACCUGCCAGUUAACAACUCUGUCAUGAAUUUGGAGGUCUCCACAAUCACGGCUGGUGCAUCUUCAAGCAGUCAUCGUUUGUUUACAUUGACCGAACCCUUUACAUAAGAACUUCAGUGUCAAGCAUAUGAAGAUAUUUUAAAAAAUGAUUCUGGGACCCUUUGAAAUAAAUAUUGUGGCCUUAUUUAAACAUGACCAUUUUUUACACCAGAGAAAUGAGAACUCAAGUCACCUCAUAUAGACUUCAUACUGAACACUUACGAGUAAAUGAAGAAACUGCAUCUGCCAAAAUGGUGGCACCAAUAUUACAGAUGCAACAUGCCUCUUAAAGAGUAACCUACAUCAGAAAAAUUAAUGUCCUCCAUGUCCAAAUUUGCAACACGGAUCUUAGAUUUAAUAUAAAUACAUGAGAAAUACCUAGAUCUCUUUAAGGCUUUAAAAAAUGUGUACACACAAAUACAAUCACAACCUACAUUUGUGCUGAAAAGUGACUUGGAGAUCGCUUAGUUCAACCC
rnacentral:lncRNA from 1 species